UCAUUUCUAUUUUGUGUUCAUUUCGAUCAGCCUUUACUUUCAGAAGGGGUGCAGUACCUACACUAUUAAAAGUCAGUCCCUUGAAGCUAUGUUAAGCAGAAACAGAAAACCUUGGUUUACUUUGAAAAACCUUAGGGAGGAAGGGCCAGGUCUGUUGCUUCUGACUCUUGCAAAGCUGAAAAUGCCAUUAGUUGCUGGGAACGAAUACAACAGAACAAGUGUUUUGCUUUCUUCAGCAAGGUCUUGCCUGCAGCACCUGGAGCUGUCCUGGCCCCUGGGACAUGUGGCAUUUGGAGGAGUCGCUGCUGGAAUGGAGGAACGAACGCUUCGGGUUACCUGGCUGUAGGAACUGAGCUGAGCUGUGAUACUGGUGGACCAAGUGGGGACAGAAGCUGGUUCUUACCUUUAUCUCACUAAAAGCCCCUUUCAUCUGGAUGGAGAUUCAAAUAUGGUUUUCAGUGACAAACGGCCCAGCUGGGCAGAGUUCCCGUGGUAUGGAGGCUGCUGGCUGGCAGCGGCACGUUGCGUUCCAGGCAUCGCCAGGCCCCGGGCAGCCAGGCUGGCUCCUCUCUUUAAGUGGAUGUCUGUGACACGGGGGGGUGAAUUUGGCUGAAUGCCUGUCAUGGCUGAAGGGUUUUGAGUUACUUGAGAGGACACAGUAGCUGAGGGAGAUCUGAAAGAUGAUAGUCGAUGUGGUCUGUGUUUUCUGGGCAGACACGCAUCCUCGACAUAGCCCAGCAAAGGACAGGAGACACGCCAUUAACUUCUGAGCCUUUGGUACAGGCCAGCCAUGCAGAAGCAGCAACCAUUCUCUGUCUCUUCCCCCAGCCCCAAAGCAGCCUGUCUAAUAUUGGAGUCUUUCCCACUCUUCAAGUUCAAAGACGUGUGAGGGAUCCAAGCUAGGAACACUCGUAGGGUCAGAUAAGAUGUGUAAUGCAAGGUGGGAGAAGCCAUCAAAGCCUCUGUUUUGCUAUUGCAUUUAAACACGACCCAGAAUUGUGCCCUGGAAAACUGUUUGUAGCCUUGUGGAAGGAUCUAUGAGCUAUGCCAGAGUCUAUUUGCACUGACUUUCAGACAAUGUCAUACCAUAAUGGAACGACUGCUGCUCUUCAGAGGUAGGAGUUGGAGAGGAGCAGCAAAGAAAUAAAAGCAGCAGGAGAGCUGGUAUUACUUCUAGGAAGAGCAGGCAGUAUGUGAAAGGAGAGAAAGGGAUCCAGUCCAGCCUGAAGCCUCUGACUUGUAGGAAGGAUUGAGGUCGUCUUUGGAGAGGAAUUAUCUCAGGACUUCUGCUGCUCUCCUGUAGUUUGCUCUCCUUUAGUCCUUUAGUUUGUCUCCUCAAAGCAUCUCCGGUUAACAAACUCCUGUGCUUCACCUACAUGUGCUCUUUCCUUUCAUCCCUCUUUGUCACAAAGGAAUCUGAGAGGCCCUGAGGACCCCAGCUUCAGCUGUGUGUGUUCCAUGGAUGGAGAGGACUUGUGUGGUCUCAGCCACCCGCUCCAGGCUGGCUGGGCCAGGGUGGCCCAGAGCACAAGGAGGGGAAUUACAGUGGGUGGCUGUCUGCAGGCAUGCCCUGCAGUACAGGAGCUAGAAAUUACAACCCCUUGGAGGGAAGCUCAGGAGGCAAAUUUAUCUACAUGCAGGAGCUGGGAAAAAGAAAUAGGGCAACAAGGAAGUCCCACCUCCCUUAAGGAAGGAUGGAGCAGCUUUGCUGUUUGCCUCUCCCAGGGUGUGGAGAGCAACACUUGUGUAUUGUAAGAAGGUUCCCAGCUGGUCUUUGACCUAAUAAACUCCAGGACAAAUGAAAUACAUUUCAUUAUCAGCAUCUAUCACUGACGUAGGCCUCACAUCCCAUAAAAUUUCAUUGCAUACUCACCUGUACGUGGUACUGUGAAGUCUCAUGCAUAAUGAUAUUGGAGUUGGAGUAUUUUUUCCUUUGUUCUGAA